rnacentral:hammerhead_ribozyme from 1 species
CCGGCUGACGAGUCCCAAAUAGGACGAAACACGCGUCCUGG